AACGCACAUUGCACCCGCCAGCACUCUGGCGGGUAUGCCUGUUCGAGCGUCAUCUCAAACCUCAGGCAACAGCCUGCUGUUGGGGCGUCCCGGCUGCGGGAGCCCCGAAUCCCAGUGGCGGAGCCGUCGCGGACUCUGAGCGUAGUACUGACGUCGCCCACGAGUCCAGGCGGUGCCUGCCGUAAAACCCAGCUACGGCUUCAAGGUUUGACCUCGGAUCAGGUAGGGAUACCCGCUGAACUUAA
rnacentral:misc_RNA from 1 species